ACCGGUUUGGAAAAAAUCCGAUUUUUUUCGGAAGUCAAAAGGCAAUUCCGAAAAUUUCGGAAUAGAAAAACUCAUUCCGAUUCCGAUUCCGAAAAUUCCGGUCGGAAAUUCGGAAUUUUCGGAAUCGACGGUUUACGGUGACUCUGUUGCUUUUCCGCGACGGAGCAACGACGAUGGAGCGAUUUUGAGGCAAACUCAUUUCCUAUUCCAAAGACACCCUCUUCCGCAAAGAAUCUUUCAAAUCUUGAAAAUGCUUGUGAAAUGAUGAACGGGCGGAUCU
rnacentral:lncRNA from 1 species